rnacentral:rRNA from 1 species
GAUGAACGCUGGCGGCAGGCCUAACACAUGCAAGUCGAGGGGGAAGUUACUUUCGGGUGGCUGAGACCGGCGUACGGGUGCGUAACGCGUAUACAAUCUGCCUUUCACUGGGGGAUAGCCCGACGAAAUUUGGAUUAAGACCCCAUAGUAUAUAGGGACGGCAUCGUUUUUAUAUUAAAUCUUAGUUGGUGGAAGAUGAGUAUGCGUGCUAUUAGCUAGUUGGUGAGUUAACGGCUUCCCAAGGCGAUGAUCGAUAGGGGUUCUGAGAGGGAUGUCCCUCACACUGGUACUGAGAUACGGACCAGACUACUACGGCAGGCAGCAGUGAGGAAUAUUGGGCAAUGGUCGGAAGACUGAUACAGCCAUGCAGAGUGCAGGAUGAAGGUGUUAUGGAUUGUAAACUGCUCUUGGAAGGGAAGAAUACGGGCUACGCGUAGUUUGAUGACGGUACCUUACGAAUAAGCACCGGCUAACUCCGUG